AUUGAACGCCGGCGGCAGGCCUAACACAUGCAAGUCGAGCGGAUGAAGGGAGCUUGCUCCUGGAUUCAGCGGCGGACGGGUGAGUAAUGCCUAGGAAUCUGCCUGGUAGUGGGGGAUAACGUCCGGAAACGAGCGCUAAUACCGCAUACGUCCUGAGGGAGAAAGUGGGGGAUCUUCGGACCUCACGCUAUCAGAUGAGCCUAGGUCGGAUUAGCUAGUUGGUGGGGUAAAGGCCUACCAAGGCGACGAUCCGUAACUGGUCUGAGAGGAUGAUCAGUCACACUGGAACUGAGACACGGUCCAGACUCCUACGGGAGGCAGCAGUGGGGAAUAUUGGACAAUGGGCGAAAGCCUGAUCCAGCCAUGCCGCGUGUGUGAAGAAGGUCUUCGGAUUGUAAAGCACUUUAAGCUGGGAGGAAGGGCAGUAAGUUAAUACCUUGCUGUUUUGACGUUACCAACAGAAUAAGCACCGGCUAACUUCGUG
rnacentral:rRNA from 1 species